rnacentral:tRNA from 1 species
GCCUGGGUGGCUCAGUCGGUUGAGCAUCCGACUUCGGCUCAGGUCAUGAUCUCACAGUCUGUGGGUUCGAGCCCCGCAUCGGGCU